rnacentral:rRNA from 1 species
UGAGGGAAUAUUGGGUCAAUGGACGGGAGUCUGAACCAGCCAAGUAGCGUGCAGGAUGACGGCCCUAUGGGUUGUAAACUGCUUUUAUAGGGGGAUAAAGUGUGCCACGUGUGGCAUAUUGCAGGUACCCUAUGAAUAAGGACCGGCUAAUUCCGUGCCAGCAGCCGCGGUAAUACGGAAGGUCCAGGCGUUAUCCGGAUUCAUUGGGUUUAAAGGAGCGUAGGCCGCCUUUUAAGCGUGUUGUGAAAUGUAGGGGCUCAACCCCUGCACUGCAGCGCGAACUGGAGGGCUUGAGUACACACAAAGUAGGCGGAAUUCAUGGUGUAGCGGUGAAAUGCUUAGAUAUCAUGAAGAACCCCGAUUGCGAAGGCAGCUUACUGGAGUGUAACUGACGCUGAAGCUCGAAAGCGCGGGUAUCGAACAGGAUUAGAUACCCUGGGUAGU